UUCUCUCUAUCUGCUCAUCAUCUCUUUCUAACUCUCUCUCUCUGUCCCUCUCUUUCUUUCUUUUUUUCGUUAAACAAGAUAUAGCCUCGGAUUUCUUAACGAUCGGGAGUCCAAACAAUAUCCGAUCGUCCCGAAAUUUUAACCUAAGUGUCAGCGUUGGUUUUGUACACGAUCGGAGGUUCAAACAUUGUCCGAUCGUUCUGAAAUUUUAAAGGAAGAGGUAGAAUUAAGGGGAGUGUUUGUUGGCGGAGCUCCCAGGAUAAGCAUGCACAAACCGAACCUGCCCGGUGGUUCCGAACCGCCGGUUCAUGAACUGGAACCGGCACCGGCGGUUUCGCGAUUCAAGCGGGCCGGUUCAGGUUCGUGAAAAUCAUGAACCGUGAACCGGCGGUUCAAGGGUCCCAACGGGAAGAUUCCGGCUAGGGGCGUAGGGUUGCAGGCGAGGGUUGCAGAAAAGCCGCCGGUUUGAACAGUCGGUUUCUGACGGUUCCGGUGCUUUUUCAGGUGGCAGAGCGUAGGGUGCAGCGUAUAGGCCUGAAAACCGGUCCGAAACCGGUGGUUUCCGUCAGAAACCGUGGACUGAACCACCGGUUUUGGUCCGAACCGCCGGUUCAGGCGGUAAACCGACCGAAUUUGAAAUUUCAAUUUUUUUUAUUUCUUCCUAUUUUACUCCUAUAAAUACCCCACUUCCCCCCUCAUUUUUACUCACCCCAUUCUUGUGUUAACAAGGAUUUCAUUCUCAAUCUCACUUUCUCUAUUCUCUCCUCAUUCUUUUUAAUUGCUGAAGUUAUUUACUAGUUACUACUUACUACUAUAUUUGUUGCUGUGUUCGUAAUUUACCAUUUAUUCCAUACUCCAUAUUCCAUCCAUACUACUUUCAUUUAUCACUAUGUCUUCUUCUCGUGGU